AGUGAACGCUGGCGGUAGGCCUAACACAUGCAAGUCGAACGGCAGCACAGUAAGAGCUUGCUCUUACGGGUGGCGAGUGGCGGACGGGUGCGGAAUACAUCGGAAUCUACUUUUUCGUGGGGGAUAACGUAGGGAAACUUACGCUAAUACCGCAUACGACCUACGGGUGAAAGCAGGGGAUCUUCGGACCUUGCGCGAUUGAAUGAGCCGAUGUCGGAUUAGCUAGUUGGCGGGGUAAAGGCCCACCAAGGCGACGAUCCGUAGCUGGUCUGAGAGGAUGAUCAGCCACACUGGAACUGAGACACGGUCCAGACUCCUACGGGAGGCAGCAGUAGGGAAUAUUGGACAAUGGGCGAAAGCCUGAUCCAGCCAUACCGCGUGGGUGAAGAAGGCCUUCGGGUUGUAAAGCCCUUUUGUUGGGAAAGAAAAGCAGCAGGUUAAUACCCCGCUGUUCUGACGUUACCAAAAGAAUAAGCACCGGCUAACUUCGUG
rnacentral:rRNA from 1 species